rnacentral:rRNA from 1 species
GACGAACGCUGGCGGCGUGCUUAACACAUGCAAGUCGAACGGAAAGGCCCUGCUGGUGUGGGGUGCUCGAGUGGCGAACGGGUGAGUAACACGAGCGUAACCUGCCCUUGACUUUGGGAUAACUUCAGGAAACUGGGGCUAAUACCGGAUAGGAGCUCCUGCUGCAGGGUGGGGGUUGGAAAGUUUCGGCGGUUGGGGAUGGAUUGGCGGCUGAUCAGCUUGUUGGUGGGGUAGUGGCUUACCAAGGCUUUGACGGGUAGCCGGCAUGGGAGGGUGACCGGCCACCAUGGGCCUGCGGUACGGCGCAGACUGCUACGUUGGGCAGCGGUCGGGAAUCUUGUCCAGUGGGCGGAAGCGUGAUGUAGCAGCGCCGCGUGCGUGAUGACGGCCUUCGCGUUGUAAAAAGCUUUCGCCUGAGACGGAGCGUGCGUGACGGUACCGUAUAAAGAAGCACCGGCUAACUACGUG